CCUACGGGUGGCUGCAGUGGGGAAUAUUGGACAAUGGGCGCAAGCCUGACCCAGCAACGCCGCGUGAGGGAAGAAGGACUUCGGGGCGUAAACCUCUGUUAGGAGGGAAGAGCAGAAGACUGUACCUCUUGAAUAAGCCACGUCUAACUACGUGCCAGAAGCCGCGGUAAUACGUAGGUGGCAAGCUUUGUCCGGAUUUACUGGGUGAAAAGGGCGUGCAGCCGGGAAGAAAAGUCAGAUGUGAAAUCCCGGGGCUGAACCGCGGAACUGCAUUUGAAACUGCUAUUCUGGAGUACCGGAGAGGUCAGCGGAAUUCCUAGUGUAGCGGUGAAAUGCGUAGAUAUAAGGAAGAACACCAGUGGCGGAGGCGGAUGACUGGACGGCAACUGACGGUGAGGCGCGAAAGCGUGGGGAGCAAACAGGAUUAGAUACCCGAGUAGUC
rnacentral:rRNA from 1 species